rnacentral:rRNA from 1 species
UACCUGCAGCUCGAGUGGUAACCGCUAUUAUUGGGCCUAAAGCGUCCGUAGCCGGUUUGGUAAAUAUCUGGGUAAAUCGUGAGGCUUAACUUCACGAAUUUCGGAUAGACUGCCAGACUUGGGAUCGGGGGAGGUCAGAGGUACUCCAGGGGUAGCGGUGAAAUGUUGUAAUCCUUGGAGGACCACCGGUAGCGAAGGCGUCUGACUAGAACGAGUCCGACGGUGAGGGAUGAAGCCCUGGGGCGCAAACCGGAUUAGAUACCCGGGUAGUCCAGGGUGUAAACAAUGUGGGCUUUGUAUUGGAGGUCCCACGUGGGCGUCCAGUGCAGAAGAGAAGUUGUUAAGCCCACCGCCUGGGAAGUACGGUCGCAAGGCUGAAACUUAAAGGAAUUGGCGGGGAGCACAGCAACGGGAGGAGCGUGCGGUUU